rnacentral:ncRNA from 2 species
AAAUAGGGUAUUGUUUUAACUCAUAUAUCUUUGGAGAUUGGUCCAAAAGUUUCUACCGGAUGACCGGAAUCGUCCGACUAUGAGGGGUGUAUUUCCCUUC